rfam:Medicago truncatula strain A17 chromosome 7, whole genome shotgun sequence.
UAGCCGUGUGAUGAUGACAUAGCGAACUAUUCUUUCGCCUUUUACUAAAGAAUACUGUAUCAGCGUCACAAAUAGUGGCAUAUGAAGAUGAAGUGUUUGAAUAGUUGAAGAAAUUAAAAAG